GUGUUGUAUGAAAGGAGAGAAGGUUAGCAGUCCCCUUGACAAGGAUGGAAGAGUUGUCGGGCCUGACAGCACGCAUACAGUUAAGAGAAAGUUCUACACCAACUGAUGAAAUACAAAUUCCU